UGGGGAAUUUUGGACAAUGGGGGCAAUUCUGAUCCAGCCAUGCCGCGUGAGUGAAGAAGGCCUUUGGGUUGUAAAGCUCUUUCGGCCGGGAAGAAAUCGCUUCGGCUAAUACCUGGAGUGGAUGACGGUACCGGAAGAAGAAGCACCGGCUAACUACGUGCCAGCAGCCGCGGUAAUACGUAGGGUGCGAGCGUUAAUUGGAAUUACUGGGCGUAAAGCGUGCGCAGGCGGUUUCGUAAGACAGAUGUGAAAUCCCCGGGCUUAACCUGGGAACUGCGUUUGUGACUGCGAGACUUGAGUGCGGCAGAGGGGGGUGGAAUUCCGACGUGUAGCAGUGAAAUGCGUAGAGAUGUGGAGGAACAUUGAUGGCGAAGGCAGUUUCCUGGGUCGACAUUGAUGCUC
rnacentral:rRNA from 1 species